rnacentral:lncRNA from 1 species
AUGAAUAUGCAUCUACUACAUAAAAAGAGGUUGCCUUAGGGAUGGCAAUAGGGCGGGUUAGGGUCGGGUGGAGCUUCCGCGGACCUGCCCUCGAAACUCGAGAAUAAAACCCGCUCCGAACCAGAACCUUAUUUCGAGUGACAAUGAGCACCUGCCCCCGAAACCCCGGGUGCCUGAAACCCGACGGACCCUCCGAAACCCGAGCAAGACAAUGACAGGGGGCGAGGCGCGAGCGGCCGGCGGCACCACGGGCGAGGGGGCGAUGGGGAUUUGGGGCCGGGGUGUGGGCAUGCGCACUGGCCGGGAGAUGGGGAGAGUGGGAGAUGACUGUGUGAACGGAGAUUAUAUACCUAAGUUGUUGUUGGGCUGGGCUAGUUUAUGGGCUGAAAUAUAUAAUUCGGGGCCCCGUGGGUCACCCGUGGGGGAAGUAUAAACCCGUUCCUGCACCCGCCAUGUGUUGGGUCCCUAAACCGGAGACCCACGGGGGCAAUUCCGGACCUGCCCCCGCCCCCGUCGAGUCUGAAACCCGUGGGUCUCGGGUCCAGACCCGCCCGAUUGCCAUCCCUAGGUUGCCUUCGCUAGCUUCACAACAGUUACAUGCUUACUCGGUCCUUUCCCUCCUGCAUAC